UUCAUCGAUUCUUUCGACUCUCUGCUGCUCCUGACUCGGGGAUGCUCGGGGAGAGGAGGGGACAGACAGAAUCUAGGCCUAGCAAGCGGAGCGACGAGCUCAGCUGAUGCAACCCGACGGGACUAGCGUGACAGUUCCCGGCACGCGGAGACGACGGCGAACGAGGAAAGGGCGCGGGUGCCGGCUGAGCGCGGGAAACAGAGACAGCGGAGCCAUGGGUGAUGCUCCAAGCCCUGAGGAGAAGCUGCAUCUUAUCACCCGGAACCUGCAGGAGGUUCUAGGGGAAGAGAAGCUGAAGGAGAUCCUGAAGGAGCGGGAACUUAAAGUUUACUGGGGCACGGCCACCACGGGCAAGCCACACGUGGCUUACUUUGUACCCAUGUCCAAGAUCGCUGACUUUUUGAAGGCAGGGUGUGAGGUAACCAUCCUGUUUGCAGACCUCCAUGCAUACCUGGACAACAUGAAAGCCCCCUGGGAGCUUCUAGAACUUCGAACCAGUUACUAUGAGAAUGUGAUCAAGGCCAUGCUGGAGAGUAUUGGCGUGCCCUUGGAGAAGCUCAAGUUUAUCAAAGGCACCGACUACCAGCUCAGCAAAGAGUACACACUGGAUGUGUACCGACUGUCCUCUGUGGUCACACAACACGACGCCAAGAAAGCGGGGGCUGAGGUUGUGAAGCAGGUGGAACACCCUUUGCUGAGUGGUCUGCUGUACCCCGGUCUGCAGGCUUUGGAUGAAGAGUACUUAAAAGUAGACGCCCAGUUCGGCGGUGUUGAUCAGAGGAAGAUUUUUACCUUUGCAGAGAAGUAUCUUCCUGCACUUGGCUACUCAAAACGGGUCCACCUGAUGAAUCCCAUGGUCCCUGGGUUAACUGGGAGCAAAAUGAGCUCGUCAGAAGAGGAGUCCAAAAUCGACCUCCUUGAUCGGAAGGAGGACGUGAAGAAAAAGCUGAAGAAGGCCUUCUGUGAGCCCGGCAAUGUGGAGAACAACGGGGUUCUGUCCUUCAUCAAGCAUGUCCUCUUUCCCCUCAAGUCUGAGUUUGUGAUCCUGAGAGAUGAGAAGUGGGGUGGAAACAAGACCUACACCGUUUACCUAGAGCUGGAGAAGGACUUCGCUGCUGAGGUCGUACACCCUGGAGACCUAAAGAAUUCUGUUGAAGUCGCCCUGAACAAGUUGCUGGACCCCAUUAGAGAGAAGUUUAAUACUCCAGCCCUGAAGAAGCUGGCCAGUGCUGCCUACCCAGAUCCUUCAAAGCAGAAGCCUCCUGCCAAAGGCCCUGCCAAGAACUCAGAACCAGAGGAAGUCAUCCCAUCCCGGCUGGAUAUCCGUGUGGGCAAAAUCCUCAGCGUGGAGAAGGUAGUCACUCCUCACCACAUCCCAGAGAGGCAGAGAAGGGUUAGCACCCAGAUGCAGAUAGCCUUUAUGUGGAGAAGAUUGAUGUGGGGGAAGCUGAACCCAGGACUGUGGUGAGCGGCCUCGUACAGUUUGUGCCCAAAGAAGAACUGCAGGACAGGCUGGUGGUGGUGCUGUGCAAUCUGAAACCCCAGAAGAUGAGAGGCGUGGACUCGCAGGGCAUGCUACUGUGUGCUUCUGUAGAAGGGGUGAGCCGCCAGGUUGAACCUCUGGACCCUCCUGCUGGCUCUGCUCCUGGUGAACGAGUGUUCGUACAGGGCUAUGAGAAGGGCCAGCCAGAUGAGGAGCUCAAGCCCAAGAAGAAAGUCUUUGAGAAGCUGCAGGCCGACUUUAAAAUUUCUGAGGAGUGCAUCGCACAGUGGAAGCAAACCAACUUCAUGACCAAGCUGGGAUUCGUCUCCUGUAAAUCACUAAAAGGGGGUAACAUCAGCUAGCCAGCUCUGUGCCCUCCCACCAUCCCGUCUGCCGGCUCGACUUGUUGCAUCUCUCACCCGCUCCCACCAGGUCUGAACUGCUGACAAGGUGCAGGACUUGGAAAGGGACAGCUCACCUUCCUACUGUGUGGGAUCACCCAGCCUGGCUGAAAGGAAACGGAGUGCCUGGGCUAAGGAGAUGCUGCCCAGCGGCAGACUGGCCCUACCUUCUUCCCUUGGCAGCUGACUUGAGAAAUCUGGUUUCAAUAGAACCCACAGAAAAAGUUUAUUCCAUGGUCCCUGUAAUUGGAAAAACACUGGUUCCCAAGUUUCCAUGGGGUUUUCCCUGCAGCUGUACUAGCUGAGAUCGAGUGCCUGGUCUGAGCUAAUUACAGCUUCUCCCCGUCAGGAAAUUGUGGGAUUUGAAAAGAAGGGAAAGAGAGCCUAGAGGUCUCCCAAGCUCUCCAGGGCUGGCAGCAUUCUCCAGGCUUCCAAACCUGAGGCUUGGCACCAGAGGCAGGACUUGCCCUGGCUCUCUUGGGGUUCCCUUGAUCUGGCUAGAUUGGACACUCCCUAAACAAGCCAGCUGUGUUAGCAGCAGGAUGGAGAUGGACUGAAACUGUGGAGCUUUCUUCAGAAUGUGAGAUACUCCAUAAAGCAUCUCAAGCAAAUCCCUAACCGCCACUGUCAAGUUCAAAUAAAGUGUCUGAAAAGGC